CCCCUCGUCCAGGUCACUGAUGAACAAGUUGAACAAGACUGGGCCGAGUACCGAGCCCUGGGGAACUCCACUAACUACCGGCAUCCAACUGGACUCCGCCCCGCCGGCUGUGGAGGGCACCAGG